ACUUUGUUAUAUGCAGGGAUUCAGAAUUCGUGGGCGAAUUCUCUCCAACUCGGGGAGUAUGAUGCGAAUCAAAUAAAGAAGGCUUUUAAUAAUGAAGGACAAGAUCAUUCGCCCUCACAUUUAAAGUUCUUCUUAUUAUUCUUUGCAAAAGAUGAGGCCCAAAGCCCAAGCCCAAGCCCAAGAAGGCCAAAGCCCAAAAAGCCCAAGUUCAUCUCAUGAAGGGCAAGGCCAAGUAUUAAAUAAUAAAGAAUAUUGUUGAAGGUGCUUAGAGGGAAACAUUAGAAACCUCUAUUGUUAAAGCAUCUUUUAGUCUUUAGUUAGGAGUUUUAG
rnacentral:lncRNA from 1 species